GUCUCCGUGGCGCAAUUGGUUAGCGCGUUCGACUGUUAUGCGAGGUGAAGGUCCCGGUCCGCCUGUACGAGCACAUUGGCAUUCAUCGAGAGGUUGGCAGUUCAAGCCUGCCCGGGGACG
rfam:Puccinia graminis f. sp. tritici CRL 75-36-700-3 supercont2.24 genomic scaffold, whole genome shotgun sequence.